rnacentral:rRNA from 1 species
GAUGAACGCUGGCGGCGUGCCUAAUAUAUGCAAGUCGAGCGAACGGACGAGAAGCUUGCUUCUCUGAUGUUAGCGGCGGACGGGUGAGUAACACGUGGAUAACCUACCUAUAAGACUGGGAUAACUUCGGGAAACCAGAGCUAAUACCGGAUAAUAUUUUGAACCGCAUGGUUCAAAAGUGAAAGACGGUCUUGCUGUCACUUAUAGAUGGAUCCGCGCUGCAUUAGCUAGUUGGUAAGGUAACGGCUUACCAAGGCAACGAUGCAUAGCCGACCUGAGAGGGUGAUCGGCCACACUGGAACUGAGACACGGUCCAGACUCCUACGGGAGGCAGCAGUAGGGAAUCUUCCGCAAAGGGCGAAAGCCUGACGGAGCAACGCCGCGUGAGUGAUGAAGGUCUUCGGAUCGUAAAACUCUGUUAUUAGGGAAGAACAUAUGUGUAAGUAACUGUGCACAUCUUGACGGUACCUAAUCAGAAAGCCACGGCUAACUACGUG